UGCAGUGGCAGUGUUUGUGCUGACUUUGUUCUUGAUGGUGUGACUGUAAAUAACGAUGUCUGCUGCAUGAAGACAUUCAUCUCCCUUUAGGAGUGAAACCGCUAAACCUGUCAAGAACACGCCUGAGACAUAUUUCAGCUCAAAAUCUAAAUAAAGAGAAACAGCUUUGCUGAAUGGACUGAAGGCUGUUUGAAAGCACAGCACGCUGGAAGCUGCUCCAUUCAGAAUAGUCAACAUGUUCUGACAUCCUGCCCUACAAAGAUGUUACGGAUUCCUGUUCCACGUCCUCUGUAAAUGACUAGCAGGAAAGAACUGUGCGCCGACUGACCCAGAAAUGAGCGAGACUCAUCCACAGUGGGAGAGUGUAUCAGUUCCUCUGAGCAAUCCCACCGUCGUACCGGCCCCUCGCACGAGACGCUCAAUCAACUAUGCAUGACUUGCCCUUAAUAGGUUUCUUCACUGGAAAUUUGGAACGGUUGUUAGCUGCUCGACUGGUAUGGAACCACUUUGGUCCCUCGAGAAUGGAGCUAUACUAUAGCAGUCUGCAAGAACAACUAUCACAUGGCCAUAGUCAUAAAAGCAAGAAGUCACACGUUUAUUGAAAGCAACCUACAAAUAUGAGAUGCAAGGAGAAACCGUAAACCAACUUCCAUCUGUACCACUGCACAGGACGAAUCUGCUGAUAAUAAAUUGAAGGGCACUGUCACCACCUCCUGUGCGGGUCAUUAAGAAGCAGUCGCUGUCACCUGUCACCAGCCGAUGUCAGUCACUAGCCAUGAUGAGCAGCUAUUAUUUUUUUUAGAAAUAUCGCCGAUUAUUUUUAUGUUUUGAUGGGAUAACAAGCUCC